AUGUUAGGAGCCCCUGUAGCCCAUACGCAUACUUGGGCUUCACAUGGGCCAGGCCCGGCUACCGCUGCUGUCUACAAGUACACGAAGGGAAAGCAGCAACCGAUGAUCCAAGUUGGAUCAGGCAAACGGCAACGGCGUCUCCUGUCUUCCCCUACCUCCUGUUCUUCUCCUUCCUCCCUCCUCAAUUCCCUUGUACUUAAAGCUCAAAAAAAAAUUCCCUUGUACUCGAGCAUGAUUCUCUGUAAUGGAGUGAUUCGCGAGUUGGAACCUAACAUCUGGUAUCAGAGCCCUCUCACCACCCUUCCAAAUUCGUCCAAAUUUCUUCCCCAUUUUUUCCCCACCACCACCACCAUGAAUUCCGAGCUGAAGGCCUACCUGGACAAGCUCCACGCAGAGACUAGGGCACAAUACGCUGAAAUCCACAAGCAACUCCAUCUUCAGGACGCCCUGCUCACCAAGCCCUCCACGGGAGCACGGCCUCCGCCCCUGACACGCUCGGCCGAAGGCAUCUCCAUCGACACCAUCCCUGAGGUCGUCACCGACGCCUUCUCCGCCACCACCCAUGCCCAGAAGGCCCCCGCGGUCACCCAUGAUGCAGCCCCGAUCUGCAUAGCGACGGCGCCCGUCACCUGUUCGACGGAGUGCUCGACCCAGGUCGACGCCAUCGUCAGGUUCAACGAGGCCCACGAAGCCGCCACCACCAUCCGCCUCGGGCCCUUGGUCGACCUCGUCCACCAAGAGGUCGAGCAGCUCGCACCUGUGCAGGCAACCGCCUCCAUCCGCACCGGCACUCCCUCUACCGUCGAGGUCGUUCCUCCCGUGGCGGCCAUCACCGACGUCGACCCUAAGGCUAGCGUGCAGGAGCGGGAUGACUCACCACUGCCCUCCAUCAACACCCUGACCCCAGCAGCGACUGAGAUGGACCACAUCAUGGUCCUUAUCGUCUCCAGCAGCCUUACUGCACUGGCGCCGACCAAGUGCUCGACAGAAUACGCCGUUCACGUUGGCGACUGGGUGAAGCCCCUGUUCGCCCUGAGUAUGUUCUACGCAACCUAUGCACCAUCCAGCUUAACUCACCUUGAUCAUCUAGAACCCCUGCGGCACCCGUCACAGAUUGCACAAGCAGAAUAUGGCACUCACCUUGUGGACAAGAGCAAAAAUUGGGGCCUAUCACCACUGUGGCAGGGGAUCGAGCAACCAUGGCCGCCACCUUCGCGAGUGCGUAUUGGAUAUAUGGGACACCUAUUCAGGCCAAGGCCGUGGCCGUCGCUCAGAUAUCAUUCAGAUGCAUGCUACCCUGAGGAGCGAUGUUCAGGUAUAAGUAGUCAUGCACAUGAAGUUUCCUGGUUCUUUCCUUGGCUAGUUCUGUUGCUAUUCAGAAAUGUGGUUUUCCUUCAAGUUUCUUGUUGUGAGAUGAUUCCAAUGGAAGAGGCUGUCAGUUUCCAAUCUGUUGAGAUUUUGCAACAUAUAUCUGAUGACCCAAGGUUGCUCCUGUGGUCACCAACUAGUGCAGAGAGUUUAGUCAAGACAGUGGUGCAGGAAAUACUUUGCAAUGGAAUCUUGCAUAUUUUUUCCGGCAACGGCAGAGCGGUACAGGGUUAUGAUGGAACCAAGCUCCGACCAAGACCAUGGCCACUGUUCGAGAUCAAUCAGGAGACCAUCCAGUUGAAGCUACAACGAACAAUAUUUCCAGGUAAUUGCCAAGCAGUACAUGCGGUGUUCGAGCAAUACCUAUGUGGUCAGCUUUAUCUAAAUGUACUGAGCAUGUCAGUGUAUGAGAAAAUUUUGAAUCACAUGGAAAUUCAAGGGAGUGGCCAUUUCUCUACAAAAUGCAGCUCUCUUUGGGAUCUUCUGUCGAUUUUGAUCGUCUGGCCUAUUUGUUGUUGUGAACAACCCUUCAGUUAUUUGCAAGGCGCACAUUCACAGUUUUGGCGUCCAUUGGAAGGUGCUGCCUAUUUCUGUGAUCGAGUAACAUGUAUUGCUGAACAUGGAAAGAUGGGCUCAGAGGGAACACAGAGGAGGCAAGUUAACUGUGAGAAUCUGUUGACUUGUGCAUCCUAUAUGGUGCUGCUGCUGGAAGGUACUAAUUGUUGGGAACCCAUACCCAAAUUACAUUGGAGAACAUUGCUUCAAAUAAAUCAGUGGUGGAGACGAAAAAUGAUACGACAGUAUGGGGUCAGGAAGGCUGCAUGUGUGUAA
rnacentral:rRNA from 1 species